rnacentral:rRNA from 1 species
GAGUUUGAUCCUGGCUCAGAACGAACGCUGGCGGCGUGGCUAAGACAUGCAAGUCGUACGGACCGCAGUAGCAAUAUUGCGGUUAGUGGCGAAAGGGUGAGUAAUGCAUGGGUAACGUACCCUGAACUCGGGGAUAACAGCGGGAGCAAUCCCUUUAGCGAAAGUGCUGCUAAUACCCGAUGAAGUCACCGGGUCGCAUGAUUUGGUGACCAAAGGUGGGGACCGCAAGGCCUGCCGGUUUGGGAGCGGCCCAUGUCCUAUCAGCUAGUUGGUGAGGUAACGGCCCACCAAGGCGACGACGGGUAGCGGGACUGAGAGGUCGGCCCGCCACAUCGGGACUGAGACACUGCCCGGACACCUACGGGUGGCUGCAGUAACGAAUAUUGGGCAAUGGGCGCAAGCCUGACCCAGCGACGCCGCGUGCAGGAGGAAGCCCCUCGGGGUGUAAACUGCUGUCAGGGUUCAGCAAGCAAAGGGCGUGAACAGCGCCCGGCGUUGAGCAGACCCAGAGGAAGCCUCGACUAACUCUGUGCCAGCAGUCGCGGUAAGACAGAGGAGGCAAGCGUUGUUCGGGAUCACUGGGCUUAAAGCGCGUGUAGGCGGCCCGGAAAGUGUCGUGUGAAAUCCCAUGGCUCAACCAUGGAAUGGCACGGCAAACUACCGGGCUGGAGGUCGGUAGAGGUGCCUGGAACUCUCGGUGGAGCGGUGAAAUGCGUAGAUAUCGAGAGGAACGCCAGAGGCGAAAGCGGGGCACUGGGCCGAUUCUGACGCUGAGACGCGAAAGCGUGGGGAGCAAACAGGAAUAGAUACCCUGGUAGUCCACGCCGUAAACGAUGCACACUGGACGUC